rnacentral:rRNA from 1 species
UACGUACUGCGCGAACGUUAUUCGGAAUCACUGGGCUUAAAAGGUGCGCAGGCGGCUGCCCAAGCCCGAAGUGAAAUGCCCCGGCCCAACCGGGGACGUGCUUCGGGGACUGGGCGGCUCGGGCGAGCUAGGGGUCCGUGGAACUCCCGGUGGAGCGGUGAAAUGUGUUGAGAUCGGGAGGAACGCCGGUGGCGAAAGCGACGGACUGGGGCUUUGCCGACGCUCAGGCACGAAAGCCAGGGGAGCGAACGGG